rnacentral:snRNA from 1 species
AUCGCUUCUCGGCCUUUUGGCUAAGAUCAAGUGUAGUAUCUGUUCUUAUCAGUUUAAUAUCUGAUACGUCCCCAUCCGGGGACUACAUAUUAAAUGGAUUUUUAGAUCACGGAGCUGGAGCCGGGGCUUGCUCCGUCCACUCCAUGCAUCGGCCUGGUAUUGCAGUGUCUCCAGGAACGGUGUGCUUUCC